UCCAUAUGAUCUCUAAUUUGGGGUCUUUUCUCUCCAGCAACCUCGGGAUUUCAGCCAACCUUCAGCCAUGAAGAUUCUCUACCUUCUCUUUGCUGUCUUCCUCUUGGUGCUGCAAAGCUCCCCAGGAUUCACCCAGUUUAACACUGGGGACCGAGCAUGUGAAAGGGCUGCAGGUAAUUGUGCCCGUCAAUGUUACUACCCUUAUAAAAGGAUUGGAAUUUGCAGUCGUGGAAGGAUCUGCUGUAGACGGAGCCGGAUCAGAGUCUGAGCAUUAGCCUCAGAGAAGGUUUAUGGAGGAUUCCUGGGAAUCUGGCAGAGGAUGCCUGGCUUCUAAAGUCAUAGGACGCUUUUCUUCUGAGCUGCAAAGAACCUCGCAAACCUUAAAAUCCACAAGGGAGCCCUUGUGCCACCAAUAAUAGCUUCUUCUUCUCCUUUUCAUAAACAUAGCUGGUUGUAGUGCUGCAUCACAA